GACAGAGGGUGCAAACGUUGUUCGGAAUUACUGGGCGUAAAGCGCGUGUAGGUGGCCAGGCAAGUCGGGUGUGAAAGCCCCGGGCUCAACCCGGGAAGUGCACUCGAAACUGCUUGGCUCGAGUGCCGGAGAGGGAAGCGGAAUUCUCGGUGUAGAGGUGAAAUUCGUAGAUAUCGAGAGGAACACCAGUGGCGAAGGCGGCUUCCUGGACGGCUACUGACGCUGAGACGCGAAAAGCGUGGGG
rnacentral:rRNA from 1 species